UUCUCCUUCCCUUUCUUUCAUUCACAGAAACUCAGCUAAUGGUUCUGAAGCUCCUUUGUUUCUUUCUCCCUUUCUCCCUCCCUUUCUUUCAUUCACAGAAACUCAGCCAAAAAACCCUAGCACUGUAAGUCUACACCACCGCCGCAAGGAGUGGCAUACUGCCGCCGUCCGUCCGUCCGUCUAUCUAGCUUUCCUCGUACUCCAAGUCUUUAACCCCUGUUCGCUGUCACCGAUCGCAGCUGCUUCCUCGAACUCGGCGUCCGUCGUCUUUGUCUGCUUAGCCGCGCUUCCGCCGCCGUUUAUUUGCCGUUCACGUUCGCGUCUUCGUUCAGCCGUCGUCUUCGUUCGCGGUCUUCGCCGUUUAAGUUUGCUCGGCGUUUACCAUUCGCGUUCACUCGCCGUUCACCGUUCGUGUUCGCAUUCGCAUUCGUCUGGAAGCCACGUUGCUCUGCUUCAAAAUCUGCGUCCAACCCGCGCGCUCCACCUAGCCGUCAAACUGCUCUCUUUGUCGUCGCGAUGAAAAGGAGAAAGCAAGAGGAUAAAGUGAAGAGGGUGCAACAGCAGGAGGAAUGUUUUAAGCAUGUUAAGCUUGGUCGUCGGAUGAAGCUUUGAUCAUGGCUCUCUUUCUCCUUCUGUGCCCUUUUUCUUCUACACCCCUCUAUUUGUUUUAGGGUAGGGUUCAGAGAGAGGGAUAGUGGUUGAGAUUUAUGGGAGUGAUUGGAAUAUGGGUCAAAUCGAAAAGCUGGAUUUGUGGCCAUUGAGCUGUUUUUCGCUCUCAUGAUGGCAAUUGUUAGGUGAUCCAAUAGCUUCCACAGGUGCUGUCCUUUUUCUUGCAGAUAUGAUAGAUAGAUUAGAUCACUACAUGAUAGAACUCCAAAUUAGAAGAAAGAAUGUUCUGGCAAUGAAAAAAUUGGAGGCAACUAAAGCAUUGGAAGAAGAAAGAGACAAAUUGAAAGUGGAGCUUAUACAGCUAGAAUUUGAUCUCAAGUCUAAAUAGAAGAUAUGUUGCAAUUUAUGUAUAUAAAAAGGUUUACCUGGAUGAGAGUGCUCAAAGUGGAUAGCCUUAAUUCUAGAAUUCAGGAACUUGAAGCUCAAUUAGUUAAAGAGAAUGCGGAGUGUAAAAGUGGAUCCUCAAAAGUUAAUGCUGUACUAGAGUUUGUUCUGGAGUUGCGGACUUGUGGAGAAGACUUUGUGUCCUAGAUGUACAAUGGAUUUACUGGCACUAUUCUAAAAGGGUGUGGUUUAGUGGCAGCAACCGAAAGAAGCCAUUCGAUAAGGUGCAAAACUUGUGUGGGCCCACCUUCUAUUAAUCGUUAUAGUGACAAUGAUGGGCUUCCUUAACUUCAAGCAGCAUUAAUUAGAAAGGUAAGCAAAAACGUUCUAGACUCUAUCUUUUUCUUACAACAUAUAAAUGUGUGUUAACUGGUUGGAACUUGUUUUUGGAAUGAAACUUGGUUUUCAAUAAGGGUCAAGUGCGCAUUAAGUUACAAUGCUUUUUAGCAGUUGAAAUUCCUGAGAACUGGUGAUUCUUUUCUAUUAACUCCUAUGCUUUCGAUUGUAGUUGUGAGAUGUAAACAAUUUGCACAAGUCGUAGGUAAUGGUUACUACAGGUGCCAAUUAGGUGAUCAAUCUUCAUAAGAUAUAAAUGUGUUUUAUAAUUUUAUAAUUUUUUUAUGACAAAAAAAUAUAACACACACGGUUAGUGAAGAUAAUGCACUUUAUAAGCAUUUCAGUUUCCAUUUCAUACCUUUAUGUUUAGAUGUAUAAUGUAUUUUUUCCUUCUUGGCUUUUCUCCGUUUGAACUUGGAAAGGAGCAUAGUUGGGGAGAGAUUUUUGAUGGUAAUGAAUUGGUGGUCAAAUCCAGCAUCAAUGAGGUAAUUUAUGUUAAGGAAGGCAACGACUUCCCAUGGUUUCUUCUCACGGAUUUCCAUAAUUUGUGUCUGUGAGGUGGGUAAUUAACAGUAGUUUUGAAUCAUUUUAAUUCUUUGUUGAAUUCCGUCUCCAUGAAGAGAGAUUUUUUUCGAUUUUCUGUUAGAUUCUCCAUUUUCGGUAUGUAAUGAUUUGGUUAAGGUUUGCAAUUGUGUUUUUUAUUUCCCACUAGGGUUUUUGUGCAGUUAAAUCUAAGUUUUGUAAUUUUCCGUUGAUUUUAAUAGUCAAUUUUGUAUAAUGUACACUGAACCAUUGAGCUAAUAAUAUGCUCAUGCACAUUUGAUUUUGGUUA